CUACGGGAGGCAGCAGUGGGGAUAUUGCGCAAUGGGGGAAACCCUGACGCAGCGACGCCGCGUGAGCGAAGAAGGCCUUCGGGUCGUAAAGCUCUGUCCUGGGGAAGAAGGAAUGACGGUACCUGGGGAGGAAGCCCCGGCUAACUACGUGCCAGCAGCCGCGGUAAUAGGUA
rnacentral:rRNA from 1 species